rnacentral:lncRNA from 1 species
CCUCGUUUUUUCCGUUUCAAAACUUUAAGACAUUACAAAACAUUGCACAUCAUUUAACCUGUUUAUUUUAUGACUUUAAUUUAAAAAAUAUUAUACAAAUGUUUUUAUGCAUAACGAUACUUUCAGAGUUAAGUAAUGGCGUAAUAAAAUUGAAAACCAGAAGUGAACGUCCUGUAUUAGCCCUAGGGCUAAUACGGCUUUUUUCCCGCUUUUUUCUGUAUUGGCCCUGUUUUUUUCCGUAUUGGCCCUGUUCGAAGAGCAAUAUUAAAUCUUGAUUUAUAUCGACAGUGAAACGUUUUUAGUAUUGCACAUGCUGAUUUAUCCGUAUUAGGGCUUAUUUGCUCAUAUCAUUUAAUAAAACAUUAUAUAAGACGAUAA